UACGUAGGGUGCAAGCGUUAAUCGGAAUCACUGGGCGUAAAGCGUGCGCAGGCGGCUUUGCAAGCCAGAUGUGAAACCCCCGGGCUUAACCUGGGAACUGCAUUUGUGACUGCAUGGCUGGAGUGCGGCAGAGGGGGAUGGAAUUCCGCGUGUAGCAGUGAAAUGCGUAGAUAUGCGGAGGAACACCGAUGGCGAAGGCAAUCCCCUGGGCCUGCACUGACGCUCAUGCACGAAAGCGUGGGGAGCAAACAGG
rnacentral:rRNA from 1 species